GGCGGGUAGAGGGAGCCGGUUAACCCAGCGGUCUCAUAAGCCGUUUCUACGCGGUUCAAUUCCGUGUCCCGCAACCA
rnacentral:tRNA from 1 species